rnacentral:rRNA from 1 species
CGUGUAGGCGGGGAUAUAAGUCAGAUGUGAAAUUCCAUGGCUCAACUGUGGCGCUGCAUCUGAAACUAUAUUUCUUGAGUGAUGGAGAGGAAAGCGGAAUUCCUAGUGUAGCGGUGAAAUGCGUAGAUAUUAGGAGGAACACCAGUGGCGAAGGCGGCUUUCUGGACAUUAACUGACGCUGAGGCGCGAAAGCGUGGGGAGCAAACAGGAUUAGAUACCCUGGUAGUCCACGCUGUAAACGAUGGAUACUAGGUGUAGGAGGUAUCGACCCCUUCUGUGCCGGAGUUAACACAAUAAGUAUCCCACCUGGGGAGUACGGCCGCAAGGUUGAA